rnacentral:rRNA from 2 species
AACUGUUACCACUAGAUGAAUUCAUAGUCUAGUUGGAGGUAAACGCUGUGAACUGAAACAUCUCAUUAGCAGCAGGAAUAUAAAGAAAUUUCGAUUCCCUAAGUAGCGGCGAGCGAACGGGGAACAGCCCAAACCAAAGUGCUUGCACUUUGGGGUUGUAGGACUGAACAUUUGAGUUACCAAAGAACUUGAUAGUCGAAGGAUUUGGGAAAAUCCGCCAUAGAUGGUGAUAGCCCAGUAGAUUAAAUCAAAUUCUCUCAGUUCAGGAUCCUGAGUACGGCGGAACACGUGAAAUUCCGUCGGAAUCCGGGAGGACCAUCUCCCAAGGCUAAAUACUACCUAGUGACCGAUAGUGAACCAGUACCGUGAGGGAAAGGUGAAAAGCACCCCGGGAGGGGAGUGAAAUAGUUCCUGAAACCAUGUGCCUACAAUAAGUCAGAGCGCGUUAAUGCGUGAUGGCGUGCCUUUUGUAGAAUGAACCGGCGAGUUAUGAUCCCGUGCAAGGUUAAGACUAAAAAGUCGGAGCCGUAGCGAAAGCGAGUCUGAAAUGGGCGUUUUGAGUACGAGGUUAUAGACCCGAAACCAGGUGACCUAUCCAUGUCCAGGUUGAAGGUGCGGUAAAACGCACUGGAGGACCGAACCCGUGUAAGUUGAAAAUUGCUGGGAUGAGGUGUGGAUAGCGGUGAAAUUCCAAACGAACUUGGAGAUAGCUGGUUCUCUCCGAAAUAGCUUUAGGGCUAGCCUCGGAAUUAGGAUCAUGGAGGUAGAGCACUAUUUGGACUAGGGGCCCGUCUUGGGUUACUGAAUUCAGAUAAACUCCGAAUGCCAUUGAUUCAUAUCCGGGAGUCAGACGAUGAGUGAUAAGAUCCACCGUCGAAAGGGGAACAGCCCAGACCAUCAGUUAAGGUCCCUAAAUGUAUGCUAAGUGGAAAAGGAUGUGGAGUUGCAUAGACAACUAGGAUGUUGGCUCAGAAGCAGCCACCAUUUAAAGAGUGCGUAAUAGCUCACUAGUCGAGUGAUCCUGCGCCGAAAAUGUACCGGGGCUAAGCAUACUACCGAAACCAUGGAUGCGACCAUUAGGUCGCGUGAUAGGAGAGCGUUCUAAGGGCGGUGAAGCAAGAUCGUGAGGACUUGUGGAGCGCUUAGAAGUGAGAAUGCCGGUAUGAGUAGCGAAAGAUAGGUGAGAAUCCUAUCCACCGAAUGACUAAGGUUUCCUGGGGAAGGCUCGUCCUCCCAGGGUUAGUCGGGACCUAAGUCGAGGCCGAGAGGCGUAGACGAUGGAUAACAGGUUGAGAUUCCUGUACUAGUUAAGUGCGUUUGAGCAAUGGAGGGACGCAGGAGGCUAAGAUGUGCAUUCUGUUGGAUUAGAAUGUCCAAGCAGUAAGUCUUGUGAAGAGUCAAAUGCUUUUCACUUUAAGGACAAGCUGUGAUGGGGAGCGAAAUUUAGUAGCGAAGCGUCUGAUGUCACACUGCCGAGAAAAGCUUCUAGUGAGUACUUAACUACCCGUACCGCAAACCGACACAGGUAGUCGAGGAGAGAAUCCUAAGGUGAGCGAGUGAACUCUCGUUAAGGAACUCGGCAAAAUGACCCCGUAACUUCGGGAGAAGGGGUGCUGAUCGCAAGAUCAGCCGCAGUGAAUAGGCCCAGGCGACUGUUUAUCAAAAACACAGGUCUCUGCAAAAUCGUAAGAUGACGUAUAGGGGCUGACGCCUGCCCGGUGCUGGAAGGUUAAAAGGAUGGGUUAGCUUCGGCGAAGCUCAGAAUUGAAGCCCCAGUAAACGGCGGCCGUAACUAUAACGGUCCUAAGGUAGCGAAAUUCCUUGUCGGGUAAGUUCCGACCCGCACGAAAGGCGUAACGAUCUGGGCACUGUCUCAACGAGAGACUCGGUGA